AUGAGCUUCGGCUAGGAGCACUACCUGUGCUCCUCCUCCUCCUACCGCAAGGUGUUCGGGAAUGGCUCUCACCUGUCCGCCCGCCUCUCCGGGGCCGGCGGCGAGGGCGGCUUCCGCUCUCAGUCGCUGUCCCGCAGCAAUGUGGCCUCAACGACCGCUUCGCCGUGUUCAUCAAGAAGGUGCAUCAGCUGGAGACGCAGAACCGCGCGUUGCAGGCCGAGCUGGCCGCGCUGCGACAGCGCCACGCCGAGCCGUCGCGCGUCGGCGAGCUCUUCCAGCCAGAGCUGCGCGAGCUGCGCGAGCUGCGCGCGCAGCUGGAGGAGGCCAGCUCGGCUCGCUCGCAGGCCCUGCUGGAGCGCGACGGGCUGGCCUAGGAGGUGCAGCGGCUGCGGGCGCGCGCGAGGAGGAGAGCCGCGGACGAGCACGCCCUGAAGACGCAGCAGCGCGACGUGGGCGGCGCCACGCUGGCCCGCCUGGACCUGGAGAAGAAGGUGGAGUCGCUGCUGGACGAGCUGGCCUUCCUACGCCAGGUGCACGACGAGGAGGUAGCGGAGCUGCUGGCCACGCUGCAGGCGUCGUCCGUCACAGGCCGCGGCCGAGGUGGACAAGGCUGUGGCUAAACUAGACCUGACCUCGGCUCUGAGGGAGAUCCGCGCCCAGUAUGAGUCCCUGGCCGCUAAGAACCUGCAGUCCGCGGAAGAAUGGUACAAGUCCAAGUUUGCCAACCUGAACGAGCAGGCGGCGCGCAGCACCGAGGCCAUCAGGGCCAGCCGCGAGGAGAUCCACGAGUACCGGCGCCAGCUGCAGGCGCGCACCAUCGAGAUCGAGGGCCGGCGCAGAGCCAAGGAGUCCUUGGAGAGGCAGAUCCUGGAGCUGGAGGAGCGGCACAGUGCCGAGGUAGCUGGCUACCAGGAUAGCAUUGGGCAGCUGGAGAAUGAUCUGAGGAACACCAAGAGUGAGAUAGCACGCCACCUUCGGGAAUACCAGGACUUGCUCAAUGUCAAAAUGGCUCUUGACAUUGAGAUAGCUGCUUACAAGAAACUGCUGGAAGGCGAGGAGACAUGUUUUAGCUCCAGUGGGUUAAGCAUUUCAGGGCUGAAUCCACUUCCCAAUCCAAGUUAUCUGCUCCCACCUGGAAUCCUCAGUUCUACAACCUCCAAAGUCUCAUCCACAGGGCUAUCACUUAAGAAAGAGGAGGAGAAGGAGGAGGCAUCUAAGGUAGCCUCUAAGAAAACCUCCCAGAUAGGGGAAAGUUUUGAAGAAAUAUUAGAGGAGACAGUAAUAUCUACUAAGAAAACCGAGAAAUCAAAUAUAGAAGAAACCACCAUAUCAAGCCAAAAAAUGUAAUUCCAUUGCUUCGAAAAAGUUAAUGCUUAAGAGGGAAUGAUAUGCAUUUGACUUGUUAAACAGCCUAUUCCUGAACCAUAACAGCUGCCACCACUAUAAAAUGUCUUCAAGGCUUCAGUCUCAUAUUUAGUAUUGAAUACUUACAUUCUCUAAUAAGAAAACCACCCCUUAGAUUGAAGUAAACUGCAGUCCUGGAGCAAUCACAGAUGAGUUAUCUAAGAAUACAGCUUUCUGAACUUCAGCUCACGCUUCACAGUGAUUGAUGAUUCAGGUGCAGAGGAAGUACAAACUAAGGUGCUAAAUCUGUGAUCAUCGUCAUUUGCUGUGAACUGAAAUUAAAACUAUUCACGCUACCCAGCCAUUACCCAGCUAAAUAAUCUUACUCUAGAUACCUAAAACAUAAGAUCACUGCCAGAGACAAACUAAUGGUCCACACCCAAUUCCACUCUGAUAGAAUUAUUCACAAAUAAUAGGUGUUUGUUUAAUGGACACUUUUCACCUCCCUCAAUUCCAUAUAUCCUUUUCUUCCAUGUAGGAAAAAAAUAGUCUAGUGUAGUAUUCUUCCCUUUUAAACACAUUUUGGUUCUUCUCAAAGAACUUACCCCCAUUCGCUCUCUGCUCAGUGGGUAAAAUUAGAUGCAUGUUGACCAUGUCUAUGACUCGUGUAAUUACUUAUCCCUGCCCAUUUCAUAUUCUUUCAAUUCUGUAAGUUAAAAAAAUGGCAGUGAUGAAUUUUAAGGGUUUCCCCCAACAUAUGAAAUAAUGAAAAGAAUCCCUAGACUUUAGGCUUUCAGCUUACACAAAUCUAUUUAAUUAGGAGAAAAAACUAUUAAGGAUGUAGCUUUUCACUUUUACUUUAGAAGCACAGUAAAUAUCCCAAACUGUGGUGAAGCUGACCUUAGAUUUAGUAGUAUAAGCUAGAAGAAGUGAGUGUUUCUAUGAGUGGAAAAAGCCAAGUGUCAUUUAUGUGUCAGUUCAUUUGUGGUGAUAUAGAAUUAGCUUUUUCAUCCCCUUACCCUUAGAAUCCACGUAUUCCCCUUCUCACUAGUCUAGGUCCUAAAGAGGCCUGGCUUUCACUCUCCUAUGCCUUUUACAACUGCUAAGUGUAGGAUAUUUUCUCACCAGGACACAAUGCUACCACCCCAAAGUAAAAGAAACCACUUCUGCUCAAUCAACACUACCAGCGUAUAUAUAAGAAAGAAAUCUUUCUCUUUUCUAAAAGACUUCCCCAACACUUACCCCAUGGCUGCACAGUUGGUGGGAUCCUGCCAGAGAGGAAGAGACACUCAGACCAGAGAAGGGGUGUGCAUGCGCCUACUCACUUGCUAGAAGUAGAUUCUGGACAGUCAGCUCUUCAUCUGCCCAACUGUGUAGCAUCUGCA